CAUCCGUGAGACGGUUGUUAAGAUUCUUCAAGAUCCACAUCUGCGUGAUCAGCUAAGCUCAUUGUCACAACCAUCACAGCAGGUGAAUCAAGCAGUAUUAACAAAUUUUUUUACUUGUUUUAAAUUUUUAUAUUUAGAAGUUUCACAUUGUUAGACUUCAGUCAGAGAAAAAGGGGAUCUAGGGGUCAAAAGUCAAUCUUUUCAUCUAAUGAAUGGGCUGAAGAUAUAGAUACAUCCGUAUCAUCGAAUGAAAUAUAUAAAAAUAAUCUAUUUGAGAAUUGGAGGAGUAUAUCGAAAUAUUUUAUGUCAGUUUAGACUUCAAGC
rnacentral:lncRNA from 1 species